UCCAUGCGCGGGCGGCAGCAGCAGCAUCGCCGCCCCGGCGCUCUGAGGCGGCAGGCGGAGCGGGCAGUGCCGCGCCGCGCCGCGACCCGCCGCCUCCCUCUCGUGUUCCCCGCUUGGCCGAGAUGGUGCGCUGAGUGAUUUCCACAAGAGGCUUCUGUACCCCUCCAAAGCAAGAAUACAUUAAAGAACCUUGUGUGAGGGCACAGCAGUGUACUCCUGGCUGGAAGGCUAACACCCAAGUGAAUUGUAUUGAAGAUUUCUAGACUUGGUGGGACAAAUAUCUCUACCUCCAAUUUAUGAAUACUGCUAGCUAUGGCUGUGGAACUCUGUUUGCUGCUGCUACUGUUUUGUGGAAGUACUAUUUCAGACGUACAGCCUAUAUACAAACCGCCUCCUGGGACUUUGGAUUUUGGAUUUGUACCAGCCAAGACAUAUGAUACAGGUGCAUACCAUGAACCUGGGCCAAUAGGAAUUUUGUUUAAAAUAGUACAUGCAUAUCUGUACUUAGUGCAACCAAAUUCUUUUCCUCAAGAUCUCGUCAGAAAACUAGCACAGCAGAAGUUUGGAAAUGCACAGGGCGAUUAUCAAAAGCCAGAGAAUGUUGUCCUGACUCUUCAGGCCAUCUACUAUGAAAUCGGUUUUAUAGUCUCCGCAGCCUUGGGAUUGCUAUUUAUUUUGUUACUGCCUCUUGUGGGACUUUGCUUCUGUAUGUGUCGUUGCUGUGACAACUGUGGUGGGGAAAUGCAUCAAAGACAGAAGAAAAAUGCUGACUGUCAGAGGAGCUGUUUUGCAACAUUUCUUUUUGUUGCUUCUUUAAUAAUAAGUGUUGGAGUGCUCUGUGCAUAUGCUGCCAACCAGCAUUUAACUAACCAAGUCCGAGGAGCAAAGAAACUGGUUAACAGUAAUUUUAAAGAUCUGAAAGUUUUCCUUAACGACACUCCAGCGCAAAUUGACUACUUGGUGAGCCAGUACAACACCACUAAGGAUAAAGCACUCUCUGACCUAAAUAAUGUUGGACCUUUGCUUGGAAGUAGAGUUCAAGAACAGCUGGGAAAAGAAGUACGUCCUGCACUUGAUGCAGCUCUGACAAUGGCAGGAGCCAUCAGAGAAACGAAGGAAGCACUGGAAAAUGUGAGUGUCUCUGUAGAGGUUUUGCAAGAGGGAACAGAGAGGCUUCAUGCAAACUUGACAGAUGUUAAAAUGCACCUAAGCAACACCCUCAAUGAUUCUGCAUGCUCUGCGACUCAGGCUGCCUCAACUUGCAAUAUCAUCAAGAAUUCAUUAAAUCAACUGAACAUCAAUGCCAAUUUUAGUGGGUUGCCGGGAGUGAGCUCACAGCUUGCGAAGGUCAAUGAUGUCCUUAAAAUAGACCUUUCUAGUCUGGUUCAAAAGGGUUAUGCAGCAUUUAAUGAUACUCCAGACUUAGUGGUGAAUCAAACAAGGAAUAUUUUAUCAGCUGUUCCUUAUAUCAAAAAUGUGCUGGAAUCCAUUGGUUCAAAUAUCAGUACCUUCACAAAAACCCUCCCUGUUCAGAAGAUUUUAGCAGAUCUGACGAUAUAUCUUACACAAAGUGAAGCAUAUGUUCAAGAUUAUUUUCCAGUAGUGGAGCAGUACGAUUUCUACAGGUGGCUGGGUUGCCUCAUUCUGUGCUGCAUGGUGGUCCUGAUUCUGAUCUUCUACUGUCUUGGAUUACUAUGUGGCACCUGUGGCUAUGAUAAACAUGCUUCUCCAACAACCAGAGGCUGCAUCUCCAACACUGGAGGAAACUUCCUCAUGGCUGGUGUUGGAUUCAGUUUUCUUUUCUCCUGGGUGCUGAUGAUUGUAGUCGUGCUCACUUUUGUCACAGGUGGAAAUGUAGAAAAACUGGUCUGUGAACCCUUUGAAGAUAAAACUUUAUUCAAGGUUUUGGAUACUCCCUACUUACUAAAUCAGCACUGGAAAAACUAUCUUUCUGGCAUCCUGUUUAAAAAUCCAAAUAUUAACUUGACUUUUGAAAAAGUGUACAGUGAUUGUAAGGAAAACAAAGGAAUUUAUACUUCCCUUCACCUAGAACACCUGUUCAAUAUCAAUGAAUUUCUAAAUAUUAGUAUGUAUACAGAAGAUGUAGCUCUCAAAAUUGAACAUAUUCAGAUAAACCUCAGCAAAAUCAUUCUGUUGGAUGAAAUUGGGAAGGAGAAUCUUCUGAAUUUCAGCUCUUCAGGAAUAGAAGGGAUAAACUUUGCAGCAUAUUUGGCGGAGAUCAAUAAAAGUGUUACCAAAGUUGGUCUUCUGUCAUUUGCUAAUGACUUAGAAGCAAGAGCAGACCAGCUGCCAAAAGGAGCACUGGAAAAUGCCUUAAAAGGACAUGCAAACAGCAUUCGAAUGAUUCAUAACCAGCAAGUCAUUCCACUAGAGCAAGCUAUGAAAUAUGUUAAAGCUAGGAGCACUUUAAAUCAGAGCAUCCGGUUACUGAAAAGGACAUCGUCUGAACUUAUGGUUAAGGUGAAAAAUGUCAUAAGCGCUGUUAAUGCUGCCCAGCUUCUCAUAAAUAACAACGCUUCUCUAGUUAUUGUCCAGGAGACAAAAAAGUACAUGGAUACCAUAGUUGGCUACUUUGAGCAAUACAUUGAGUGGGUCAAGGAGUCGAUUGCCAUGGAGGUAGCAGCAUGCAAGCCUAUUGCCAAUGUGAUAGAUACAGCAGUAGAUAUUUUUUUAUGCAGCUAUAUAACUGAUUCUGUGAAUACCUUCUGGUUUGGUUUGGGAGGCUCUUCAAUAUUUUUAAUUCCUGCCAUAAUUUUUGCUGUGAAACUCUCCAAAUACUAUCGUAGAAUGGAUACAGAGGAUGUAUAUGAUGAUUCCUCUGUCUCAGGGACUUGGCAUUUUACUUUAUGAUAACUGUUCUUGCACAUUUUCCCAUCAGUUUUGUUUUCACUGUUUUCUCCUCCUUGUUUUUGCUCAUUGCUCAGUUAGCCUGUGCACUGCAUUUCUCAGUUUUCACACUGGUCAUUUUUCAUUACACAUUUACUAGUCAGUAGAGCAGAAACAGGCAUGUACAGCUAAAAUUACUCACUUAUUAGUAUCUAGUUAAUUACUCCUCCUUUUCUGUGUUUUUUAGUGUUGAAACUAUACCCAUGAAAACGUAAGACAUUUUUGCUGGUAUUUGUUAAAAUUACUUCAUUCUGGUGGGAGGGUUUAUAUUUUUCAUGUAACUUGUUACUUCAAAUGAGGUAACGUGUUCUGUUUCACCAGACAAUAUAGAUUAUAUUAGAGUAUCCAACUCAAGAAUACCAAAAUACUUAAUUUUUGGAGGAUAUAUAAAAAUAUUUAAAAAUGAAAAAUUAUAAUGAUGCCAUAACUCCUGAAUGUUACAAAGAAAAAGUAUAUUCUAUUGUACAGACACAGUUUAUCUUUUCAUAUAAUACCAACAUCCAUGUACAUGUCUUAGAAGCCAUACUGUACAUAGCACAUUUUAUAGUUAACAUGGUCUUUCUUGGUGUAUUUAUUUUAUUACAGUACGGAAAAUGGUAAUAAUGGUUAUCAUAAAGAGCAUUUAUAUGGUAUACACAAUCCUGUUUUUACAAGCUCUGUGGAACAGUGGUAACACAUACUGGAAACAUGAAGGGGCUAUGUAAAUGAGGCUCGAGAUUCUUCUGUGGGAAUAUAUCAUUAUUCUUCCAAGUGUAUUGGCAUUUGCAUUCAUCUUCCAAAUCCUGAGCCACUUGUUUUAUGUCGCCCGUACUGUAAAUCCCAAUUGUACUAUUGAAUGUUAUGCCAUAAACUACUGUGCAGAAUAUUUUGCAAUCAGGGCACUGCCUCUUAAAUACCACUGUUCAAGGCUUAAAUUAAAACGGUUUUCGUUUUUUACUUUUUUA